AAGAACGAUGGCGGGGUGCUUAACACAUGCAAGUCGAACGGUGAAGCGCCUUCCUUUUUGGUGGGUGCGGAUGAGUGGCGAACGGGUGAGUAACACGUGAGUAACCUGCCCCCUUCUUCUGGAUAACCGCAUGAAAGUGUGGCUAAUACGGGAUAUUCUGGGUCUGUCGCAUGAUGGGUCUGGGAAAGAUAUUGUUUCGGUGGGGGAUGGGCUCGCGGCCUAUCAGCUUGUUGGUGGGGUGAUGGCCUACCAAGGCGGUGACGGGUAGCCGGCCUGAGAGGGUGGACGGUCACACUGGGACUGAGACACGGCCCAGACUCCUACGGGAGGCAGCAGUGGGGAAUAUUGCACAAUGGGCGCAAGCCUGAUGCAGCGACGCCGCGUGAGGGAUGGAGGCCUUCGGGUUGUGAACCUCUUUCGCCAGUGAAGCAGGCCUGCCUCGUUUGUGGGUGGGUUGACGGUAGCUGGAUAAGAAGCGCCGGCUAACUACGUG
rnacentral:rRNA from 1 species